rnacentral:rRNA from 1 species
CGAAAGGGGCUCUGCCCGCCCGAGGAUGGGCCGGCGGCCGAUUAGGUAGUUGGUGGGGUAACGGCCCACCAAGCCCAUAAUCGGUACGGGCAGUGAGAGCUGGAGCCCGGAGAUGGACACUGAGACACGGGUCCAGGCCCUACGGGGCGCAGCAGGCGCGAAACCUCCGCAAUGCUNGAAAGAGCGACGGGGGGACCCCAAGUGCCGUGGUACAACCACGGCUUUUCCGGAGUGUAAGAAGCUCCGGGAAUAAGGGCUGGGCAAGGCCGGUGGCAGCCGCCGCGGUAAUACCGGCGGCCCGAGUGGUGGCCACUAUUAUUGGGCCUAAAGCGUCCGUAGCCGGGCUUGUAAGUCCCUGGCGAAAUCCCACGGCUCAACCGUGGGGCUUGCUGGGGAUACUGCAAGCCUUGGGACCGGGAGAGGCCGGGGGUACUCCUGGGGUAGGGGUGAAAUCCUAUAAUCCCAGGAGGACCGCCAGUGGCGAAGGCGCCCGGCUGGAACGGGUCCGACGGUGAGGGACGAAGGCCAGGGGAGCAAACCGGAUUAGAUACCCGGGUAGUCCUGGCUGUAAAGGAUGCGGGCUAGGUGUUGCUUGGACCUCGAGUCCAAGCAGUGCCGCAGGGAAGCCGU